GGCUGAGGGAUGGAUGAAAAGUUGGUCUUUGCAGCAUGUGUUCAUGGCCAUAAGCUCUACCAGGAAAACAGGUUAUUCCUAAGCACAAAGGAGGACAGUUUUUCCUAUUAGUACUGUUUUCUUGUCCCUGGGCUAAAUGGCCUGAUGUGAACAUCUCCAGCAGGAGUAAGGAACUACCACACCAGUGUGACUCAGAGCAUCCUCUGGUUCACCCUCAGCCACCACACGCUGCCUUGGAUCAGGAUCAAGUUCACAGCUAUCAGAAGCAUCACUGUAAGAUGAGAACUGGAAUCCCAAGCUUCAGAUGAGAGUCUUUCUCUUCAGGCUACAGAGCUGUCUGCCUGGUCUGUCAUGGGAAGUCCUAUCCUGGACAGAAAGUGAUCUCUUUCUCUCCUCAGCAGCUGGAGGACUUUGUACACUAUCUGAGAAGAGGUACGUGACUCAGCAGGGGAGAUAUGGGCUGGACGGCUGCUAUCACUCAGGCUGAUGCUUUCCCUGCCAGACCAUCGAUCUCACUGCUACAUGGUGCUCUCCUGGAUUGCCAGGCCACGGUUUCAAAAGGUCUUAAAAAACAUAGCAACAAUACAUUCCAACACUUCCCUCUGAUUAUGGGAAAGCACCCUGCUCUCCAAGCCUAGACUAAAAACUCAUCCCCCCAAGUUGGUCUUUUAAAUGACUUGUGAGGCCCCCAUCCUGCGAUAACACCACCCUGCCUUCCCCAGGCAGAUUCCUCUACCUGCACGGCAGCCUUGGACUCUUUCUGGGGUUGUGCACGACCUCAGGGACCUAUCAGCAUGGAGCUCGCUGGAAGAUGGAUGGCUCCAAGAAAACUGAGGGAAGAGUCAGACUUGGUUGGAAAUGUUUAGCAACUUCUCUUGGGAAAGCUGGAAAAAGCCUGAAUAACUGACAGGAACAGGAGCAGGCAUAGACAGAUCUCUAAUGCAAACCCUGGCUAAAUUUGAAUAGUCCUGUGGACGUCAGUAAACCACAAAGAAAACGCUGUCUUUUAAUAGUGAUCGUGAGCAUUUCUACAUGUGCUGAAUGUUUAAUUUGAGAUUCUUGGGUAAAUUUAUAGGUAUUUACUUUUUUCAGUGCAUGGGUAAGCUGCGGUAUUAUGGAGGAUUUGGCAGCUGAUUCUCUGCAGAUAACAGCUGCAGAUCUGGAUCCAUAACCUAGGAAUCCUGAUUACUAGAUAAUUGCUCCACAACGCAUCCAGAGCAUAAAAAAAACAAGCCAAUAAAUCAUCUCUCUUUAAACAA